UACAGAGGCCACGAGCGUUAGGCGGAAUCACUGGGCUUAAAGCGUGUGUAGGUGGAUGACUAAGUACCUUGUGAAAUCCCACGGCUCAACCGUGGAACUGCUUGGUAUACUGGUUGUCUUGAGGCACUCAGGGGCGAGCGGAACAGAUGGUGGAGCGGUGAAAUGCGUAGAUAUCAUCUGGAACGCCAAUGGUGAAGACAGCUCGCUGGGGGUGUUCUGACACUGAGACACGAAAGCCAGGGGAGCAAACGGG
rnacentral:rRNA from 1 species